rnacentral:rRNA from 1 species
UUGAAAGGGAAACGAUUGAAGUCAGUCGUACCAGCGGGAAAUCAACCUUUCGAGUGGGGUUUUGGAGUUUUGAAGAGUGUCAAAACCUUUGAGAUUUCAAAAUUUUCGCUCCUUUGGUGUACUUUCUCGUGGGUAGGUUAACAUCGAUUUCGAUCAUCAUAAAAGGAUUGGAGGAAUGUAGCUUCGAUCUUGUAUUGAAGUGUUAUAGCCUUUGGUAAAUGUGAUGAUUAGGAUCGAGGAUUGCAACGAAUACCCUUUUGGGCUAUCCGCCUGAUCUCUGAUACGUGGCCUUGGUAUCGAAAGCUUGCUUAUGGUAUUAAGGUAUUACGGUCAAAAGGUUAGAACGGAUUACAUUCGUUAAGGAUGUUGACGUA